AUUAAACGCUGGCGGCAUGCCUUACACAUGCAAGUCGAACGGCAGCACGGGGGGAACCCUGGUGGCGAGUGGCGAACGGGUGAGUAAAGCAUCGGAACGUGCCCUGGAGUGGGGGAUAACGUAGCGAAAGUUACGCUAAUACCGCAUAUUCUGUGAGCAGGAAAGCAGGGGAUCGCAAGACCUUGCGCUCUGGGAGCGGCCGAUGUCGGAUUAGCUAGUUGGUGGGGUAAAGGCCUACCAAGGCGACGAUCCGUAGCGGGUCUGAGAGGAUGAUCCGCCACACUGGGACUGAGACACGGCCCAGACUCCUACGGGAGGCAGCAGUGGGGAAUUUUGGACAAUGGGCGAAAGCCUGAUCCAGCCAUGCCGCGUGAGUGAAGAAGGCCUUCGGGUUGG
rnacentral:rRNA from 1 species